rnacentral:rRNA from 1 species
UACAGAGGGUGCGAGCGUUAAUCGGAAUUACUGGGCGUAAAGCGUGCGUAGACGGCUAUCUAAGUCGGGUGUGAAAGCCCCGGGCUCAACCUGGGAAUUGCAUUCGAGACUGAAUAGCUAGGGUACGGUAGAGGGAAGUGGAAUUUCCGGUGUAGCGGUGAAAUGCGUAGAUAUCGGAAGGAACAUCAGUGGCGAAGGCGACACCCUGGACUCAUACUGACACUGAGGUGCGAAAGCGUGGGGGAGCAAGCAGG